UGGGGAAUAUUGCACAAUGGGCGCAAGCCUGAUGCAGCCAUGCCGCGUGUGUGAAGAAGGCCUUCGGGUUGUAAAGCACUUUCAGCGAGGAGGAAGGUGGUGAGCUUAAUACGCUCAUCAAUUGACGUUACUCGCAGAAGAAGCACCGGCUAACUCCGUGCCAGCAGCCGCGGUAAUACGGAGGGUGCAAGCGUUAAUCGGAAUUACUGGGCGUAAAGCGCACGCAGGCGGUUUGUUAAGUCAGAUGUGAAAUCCCCGGGCUCAACCUGGGAACUGCAUUUGAAACUGGCAAGCUAGAGUCUCGUAGAGGGGGGUAGAAUUCCAGGUGUAGCGGUGAAAUGCGUAGAGAUCUGGAGGAAUACCGGUGGCGAAGGCGGCCCCCUGGACGAAGACUGACGCUCAGGUGCGAAAGCGUGGGGCAGCAAACAGGAUUAGAUACCCUGGUAGUCCACGCUGUAAAACGAUGUCGAUUUUGGAGGUUGUGCCCUUGAGGCGUGGCUUCCGGAGCUAACGCGUUAAAUCGACCGCCUGGGGAGUA
rnacentral:rRNA from 1 species